rnacentral:rRNA from 1 species
GGAUUAGAUACCCUGGUAGUCCACGCCGUAAACGAUGAUAACUAGCUGUCCGGGCUCAUGGAGCUUGGGUGGCGCAGCUAACGCAUUAAGUUAUCCGCCUGGGGAGUACGGUCGCAAGAUUAAAACUCAAAGGAAUUGACGGGGGCCUGCACAAGCGGUGGAGCAUGUGGUUUAAUUCGAAGCAACGCGCAGAACCUUACCAGCCUUUGACAUCCUAGGGCGGUUUCUGGAGACAGACUCCUUCCCUUCGGGGACCUAGUGACAGGUGCUGCAUGGCUGUCGUCAGCUCGUGCCG